rnacentral:lncRNA from 1 species
UCUUGAAAAUAUGUUAUAUCCCUAGAUUAUCAGGUUUGUACCUCUUAUUUUCUUCUGUAGACAGAGUUCUGUCUAGGCAUAUGCAUCAGUAUCCUGCAACAUGGUAACUGUCAUUUGUUACAGCUGAAGAGGUAGUGUUAUCCAACUGAGAUUGUGUUGUCUGGGUCUUCCGGUAGAGACGAGAAGCUAUGGAAAGCGAUGCCACUGCUAUUUAUGUGCUCAGGUUUUCUCUGCUUAUAUUUGGCCUUCGUUAGGUAUACCUCUUUGUUGCCUUGAUUUGCACAUGUGUUACUUUCUAGUAUUCAUGCCUCCCUGCAUCCUAAUAUUUCCUUUACUUGCACUCAGGCCCCAGCUGUUAUUUGAAUGCAGCUUAUUCAUGGAUGCAUGCUUUACAUGCUCUUCUAGCCUCUGCCUGUUCUUGUGUUGCUUCCUCUUAUCUCAUGGCUGCCUGUUGUGUGCAGGAAAAUGCCUCAAUUAAUUAAUUUGGUGCUCCGCUAGUCGCCAUGGUCGGAUGAUACUUCAGGUUUGCACUUCCCAUUGUGGUAUUGCCCUGGUUGCUGGCGUAGGUUCUUUUAUCGUGCUGCUUAAUGCAAUUUCAUCGUUGAUUUGAUAGGGAAACUGAUGUUUAUCUACACGAUGGACCUGGCUAUAUUGCCUACUGCAUGUAUCGUUUACUGGGAACCAAAAUACUUGGACUGUGCAGCUCUGUUUGUUCCUGUGGUGAUUAGCCUAUUGUUUUUGGUUAUGGAAUUGCAGCAGCGAGCUAUCUCUUCCCUGUGUUUUACGGGUCAAGUCUUAUUCAACACCUAUGGGAAGGUAACAUAAUUUCGUCUCGCUUUGUCUUCUUGCACCAUGGUUCUGUUUCUGUGUAAUUAUUUUGCAUCGUUCCAGUUUGUUGUAUGCAGAUGCCUAUUUUGCAGUCUCACAAUCCAACUGUAAUAGUAGGGAGAAAGAUGAUGCUAUUGUGCUUUAUGUCGUAAUUCAAAAUCUAGAGUUGCACUUUUGGUUGAUUAAUCUUUCUGAACCAUAAUGAUUAUUCCUCUUUUAUUGUAUUGUUAGCCAAUUAAAAAGAUUUUAUUGUAGGUGUAUAUUUGUCUGUACGGUAUAUAUUAUGCGAGGUGGUAGGAGCUAGGAUCCUACCUGGUCUAGGGCAUAGGUUGUACAGGAAGGGGGAGGGUUGACGGAGAUGCGAUUGCGGCUGCCGGCGGCAGGGCGCCGUGGCGCGAUGAAGAAGAGGCGGCGGCGGCGCAAGAGGCGGCUAGGGUUAGGUCUCCCGGCUCCCUUCGGGAAGCCGAGCAAAUAAUGAUUGCUUCUUGCUUGAUUAGAUUGAUACAUCUCCUCUCCUUAUAUAGAGAGGUUUACUUGACUCCUAAUCAAACGAUCCUAAUAACGAUAAGAUAAUUGGGCUAAGCCCCUAAUAAUGAUAAGAUAACUUGGGCCACAACCCACUGGGCUAAACCCCUAAUAUGCCGGUCAUAACACUUCUCCCCGCCUGCACAAACAGCUCGUCCUCGAGCUGUAAGGUGGGGAAGUGCUUGCUGAACUCCUCGAGGUGAUCAACCAGCGUCAAACACCUUCGCGACAGCUGGGACGGCCAGGCCGGCGGCGACGGCGUCCUCCGGAAUGUAGUCUGCAACCUCCAGGUAGAAGAGUCGCGGGCAGACGUGGCCGGGCGUGUAGGGCUCGUCGCAGUUGAAGCACAACCCUUGGCGGCGACGCUCGAGUAGCUCGGCCGAGGUGAGCCGGCGGAACAGGCGCGCCGCGGUCGCGGCGAGGGGUGCCGCGGAAGCCUGAGCAGGCCGAGCUUGCGUGGGAACAUCCGGCCAGGGUAGCGACCCAGCAGCCCGGGACGGUGAUUCCUGCUGGAUGGCCACCGCGCGGCGCUCGAACGCGCGGGCGUAAUACAUGGCCGUCUGGAGAUCUUGGGGUCCCCGAAGCUCCACGUCCACGCGGAUGUGAUCCGGAAGUCCACCGACGAAGAGGUCGGCCCGCUGCUGCGCCGUCACGCCCGACGCAUGGCAUGCCAGAGCCUGGAAACGGCCGGUGAAGUCUUGAACCGUGGAGGUGAAGGGAAGGCGGCCUAGCUCUGCCAGGCGGCUCCCGCGGAUCGGUGGCCCAAAACGAAGGAGGCAGAGCUCGCGGAAGCGCUCCCAAGGGGGUAUGCUGCCCUCAUCCUGCUCAAGGGCGUAGUACCAGGUCUGUGCCGCGCCGCGGAGGUGGUAAGACGUGAGCCAGGUACGCUCCGAGGCGAGGGUGCGCUGCCCGCGAAAGAACUGCUCGCACUGGUUGAGCCAGUUGAGGGGGUCCUCCGUGCCGUCAUAAGUGGCGAAGUCCAGUUUGGCAAACCGCGGCGGUGUCUGAGUCGGAGCGCCGUGGCCGACUGGCUCGGAGGUGCGAAGCAGCGAGGAUUGGGGCGCCCGGUCAGCAUGGCCGCGGCCGUGGAGUGCCCCGCCAAGCCGGAGGGAUCGCCGAACUGCAGAGUGGGUGCCGGCGGGUCUCCAGCCGACGUGUAGACGGGCGGCGGCGAUGAUCCGGUCAGCCAGGCCGGUAUUGGGGACGGUGACGGCGGGAAGCGCACUUGCUGGAUCGGUACGCCUCCCUGCGUGGGUGACCCGGGCCCCGUGCUGGGCGAGGGAGGGGCCGGCAGCUGCGGCGGUACAGACCCGGGUGGAGUGGGGGGCGCAGCAAGGGCCGGGGCCGGCCACUGUGGCCAUUGAGGCGCGACAGCGGGCGGCGGUGGGGCCGGCAGCUGGGGCUGCGGCUGCCCGGACCCGGGAGGCGUCGAGGGNNNNNNNNNNNNNNNNNNNNNNNNNNNNNNNNNNNNNNNNNNNNNNNNNNNNNNNNNNNNNNNNNNNNNNNNNNNNNNNNNNNNNNNNNNNNNNNNNNNNNNNNNNNNNNNNNNNNNNNNNNNNNNNNNNNNNNNNNNNNNNNNNNNNNNNNNNNNNNNNNNNNNNNNNNNNNNNNNNNNNNNNNNNNNNNNNNNNNNNNNNNNNNNNNNNNNNNNNNNNNNNNNNNNNNNNNNNNNNNNNNNNNNNNNNNNNNNNNNNNNNNNNNNNNNNNNNNNNNNNNNNNNNNNNNNNNNNNNNNNNNNNNNNNNNNNNNNNNNNNNNNNNNNNNNNNNNNNGGGUGUGCCGAUCGCCGGUGCCGGCCACUGCGGCCAGUGGGGGGCGACGGCGGGCAGCGGCUGACCGGGCCAGUGGUGGUGUAGAGGCUCGAUUGGCGCCGUGGUGGCCGCGUACCAGGGCAGGGUGGCGGGCCCGGUCGCGGCGGCCGGCUGCAAGUGCGGCGGCUGCCCGUAGGGCCCGGCCAGGUAGAGGCGUAUGCCCUGGACGGCGGUGACGAGGUCGUUGAGUACCCCGGUCAUCUCCGCCGGUGAGUAGAUGGCGACGGGCGGCGCGGUGGAGGGCGGCGGCGUCUGGCUGGUGGAGGCGCCGGCGGUGGAGUCCAGCGGCGCGGUGGGGAGAGGCAGCGGCGCGGUGGAGAGAGGCAGCGGCGCGGUGGUGAGGAGCAACGGCGGGUUGGGUGGCGGUGAAGACAUGAUCGGAACCGAGCUACCUGAUACCAAAUUGGUAGGAGCUAGGAUCCUACCUGGUCUAGGGCAUAGGUUGUACAGGAAGGGGGAGGGUUGACGGAGAUGCGAUUGCGGCUGCCGGCGGCAGGGCGCCGUGGCGCGAUGAAGAAGAGGCGGCGGCGGCGCAAGAGGCGGCUAGGGUUAGGUCUCCCGGCUCCCUUCGGGAAGCCGAGCAAAUAAUGAUUGCUUCUUGCUUGAUUAGAUUGAUACAUCUCCUCUCCUUAUAUAGAGAGGUUUACUUGACUCCUAAUCAAACGAUCCUAAUAACGAUAAGAUAAUUGGGCUAAGCCCCUAAUAAUGAUAAGAUAACUUGGGCCACAACCCACUGGGCUAAACCCCUAAUAUGCCGGUCAUAACACGAGGUAUUUCUAACGCAUCUUGAUCUUAUUUUAGAAUCAUCUGACUAGAGUCUUGGUCCUUCGAGCUUGGUUAACUAAAGCAUCUGUGAUAUCAGAUAUCAAAUUAUUUACACUUGUACUUAAGAUGUAAUGUAUCAUACUAGAUUUUCAUGAGCUUAAUUAUAGAUUAUCAUGAUUUUGGGGAUGUGUACAGUGUAAAAUUAUAGAUCGCUCAGACUUUGAAUGGAGCUGAAGAAGUGAUCUGAACUUUAUCUUCUAUUUAUAUUUAAUAGUCAUUGGUGUUGUCAAGCAUUCCAAAUAGCACCAAUGAAUGGUUAAUGCAGGCACAAUAUUAUUCCUCUAUUUUCUUGAACUUUUAUUUAUUUAGUCAUUUACCCUGCUGCUUCAUAAAUUUCACUGUUCGCCUUUCUCUCUUUUGGUGCUUUUUACAAAUUCUAGAGCUGCACUUCAUGUAUUUAGAGACAUUGUCUUCAUUGUUUAUAAGCAGUUCCUUCAUUACAAAUCCUAGAACUGAAACCUUUCACUUUGAAGGUAGGAGACUGGUACGAACCGUGAGUGUUUCAUAGAGAAAUUCUGUUCAUAUGAAGCAGAAGAAAGUCAUGCAGUACCUUGCAAUUACGUCGUGAUUAUUAGCCUAUUAUGAUGCUCAAAACCUGAUACAGAAAAUAUUUAUGACUGAAUGUUUGACAUGAUCUCAUGUCUUAUUUGCUAAUGGUGGUUACAUGAUCUCAAGUCUGACGGCAGAAGAAAGAAAUGCUGCCUGUUACUUUCACUGUCAUUCUCGCGGUUAAUUACAUGAUCUCAGGUCUCUCUCUCCAAGUUGCUAAUGGUGGUCCUAUGUAUGUCUUGGUAGACGAUGUAGGAUACAAUAGCUUCUCAUGUUCUGUUUACUUGUUUAGGCUAAAGUAGUAGAGUGCUUAUUCACCCCCUUCUCUGCAAAUCAUUCUCUCAAGGUUGCAGGCAAAUCUUAUAACCAGGUGCUUCGAGAAUGAACAAAUAUUCAGUUCAGCGGGAUUCAUAUUUUUCUUGCCUCCAUCUUAUUUCAUUAAUUUGUGGUAGCUGCCAAUUGUUUUUUCUCCAUGUCAGUAAUCAUCUUCACUAAUUCAGAUUCAUUCUUUUUUGUGUGGUUGCUACGAAAGAACAUAUCUCUUUGUUGCUGCACAUCUGUGAUGCUUUUAAGCAAAAUGCAAGAUGUUUGAGGAAAUGCCAAUGAGAACAAAAUGUGAAUAUGCUGUUAGUGGCGUUUAAAAACAUUUUCUUGCAUUUUUAAUAGUAUCAAUAAAAUGGCUAAAUUGCACAUGAGUCUAAAUCAUAUUAAAUCAUAACGGCCUCAUGUUUUUUGUCAAAGAGUUUUGUGGUUGCAUAAAUAAGUCGUGAGAACAUUUGGAUGCAAGCACCCAUCUUUCGUGAGAGAGACCCAUGCAUUUCAGUUCUUCUUUGUUUAUACUCUGCCAAGUUAUCUCAAGCAUAUGUUUUUACUUUGGCACAGGUUGAUUCUAUAACUGAAUGCAUAGGCUUAAAUCAGAGGAUAUAGCAGCGGAAGAACAAGUUGUAUGUUUGUCGAGGUGAUCUCUUCUUAUUUAUUUGACAUGAUAAAGCAUGGACCUUCUUGCUCAGGUUUCAGAUUUCUCAAUCCAUACUUUCGUGCAAAUAUCAAUUCUUGACUUGUUAUUCAGUAAUCUUGCACGUUUUCAUUUUCUCUAUAUAUCAUCAGUAUUAAAGUUCAUACAUAAUACCUUAUAUUAUUGGCUUUAGAACAUUGCAAAUCAGGGUAGGCGGUGCAUUUGGGAAAUUCAUAUUCUAUUCAAAGGCACUUCAUCGAUACAGUCAAAUGCUUCACAAUAGAAUAUGCUACUUCACUUUUUAGGUGUCCUAAGGUUUCAUAAUUCGUUUUUAUUAUCUAAAGCAGCAUGUUUUAUCAUUUUAGUUAGCAUUGCGCCAAUCACAAACCACAAAAAAUACACAUGCUCACCCAGUCACCCUUUGUAAAGAACCGCGCCUAUAUAUGUUCUGCUCUGUACUGAAUCUUGAUGCUUUGUACGGAACCAUAUGUAUAUGUAUACUAAUGGAAUACAUGCCCUGCAGUUAGCUAUCUUUGGUUUUUUAGCAGUCCUGUUGUGUUAUUUCCUUCGAAAUGGAUGAUUGGUUUAUACGUGUUUGAUUAUCUUCUUUGAACCUUACGCCUGACUGCUUAUUAGAUUGGCUUAUACAUGUUUGAUUCUCUGCUUUUUUUCGAGAAAACGCAAAUGGCCUUUGCGUUUCAUUGCAUUGGAAAGAAAGGGAAUUUACAUCCUCCUAGGAGGCAGGUUUACACAGUUGUCAGAUGAUCAGUGGACAUCCCAGGAUGAUGGCAAAACGACCCUGAGCCCUUGAGCCCCGGCCUUUGCCCAACAUCGGGCCUUGUCCUUGAUCCUGUCGACAAGCUCAUUGAGCGAUGGGCUCACAUGGUCAAAAACGCACGCGUUCCUAUGCUUCCAGAUCAUCCACGGCACCAAAAGCGCCACGGAUUUCAGCGCCUUGCGGAGCGCUGGCAGUGUGGAUUCCUUCGCGUGCAGCCACCAGUCCAUGAGCGAGUCGUCGUGCUCGGGCGCCGGUGCCGGUAAGCGCAGACAAGAUAGGAUCUCAUGCCAUGUUUGCCUAGUGAAGGGGCACGCGAGCAUCAAGUGUCUGAUUGUCUCCGGCUCUUGGUCGCAUAGAAGGCAUCGCGGGUGGUGCUGCAGGCCACGGCGUGCGAGCCGCUCCGCGGUCCAGCAGCGAUCUUGUCAUGCCAUCCAACGGAAAAAUUUCACUUUUGGCGGUGCCCGGCUCCUCCAUAUGAGCUUCCAGGAGUGGCAGCCCGUCGCUCCCAGGAAGGUUGCCCGGUAGCAAGACUGAGCGGUGUACACGCCGUUGGCGGUCCAGCUCCAGAGCAGCUUGUCCGGCUCGUUGGACAGCUCGACAUGCUGCACUAGGUGCCAUAGCUUCAGGUACUAUCCAAUCUCGGGAAGGCUGAGCAGCCCAUGGAUGUCGCGCGCCCAGCUUUUGACGGCCAAGGCCUCCGCCACCGUUCUCGAUUUCCGGCGAUGCUUUGGGAUGCACUGAAAGAGCAUGGGCGCUAGCUCGCGGAUGGACUGGCCGCCGAGCCAGCGAUCCUCCCAGAAGAGGGCGGUCGUGCCGUCCCCGAUGGCCAUGGUCGUGGAAGCGUGGAAGAGCGCGCGCUCUUCCGACGUAAAUUGCAGGUCCAGCCCCUGCCAUGCGUGAUCAGUGCCCGUACGCGCAAGCCAUAGUCAACGCAGCCGGAGCGCGAGCCCAGUGCGCUCGAGAUCCCGGACACCUAGGCCGCCAUAUUCGAGCGGGUGGCAGACCCGGCGCCAAUUCACGUGGCAGUGUCCACCGUGGGCGUCCGCGCGGCCGGCCCAAAGAAAACCAUGCUGAAUCUUCUCUAGUUGCUUCAGGGUUUUCUUGGGAGGUGCGAGCGCGAGCAAUUGGUGAAUCAGGACCGCGCUGAGCACCGACUUGACUAGCGCCAGCCGUCCGGCCUUGUUCAUCAGCCAUGCCUUCCAGGUAGGAAGCCGGCCUGCCACCGUGUCGACAAGGGGUUGCAGCUGGGCCGCGGAGGGGCGACGGGUGGUGAGCGGGAUGCCCAGAUAGGUGAUUCUCUGCUUUGAAUUGUAUGAUUGCCUGUUUAUUAGCCCUGGAAAAUGAAACGCUUCAAUGGUUGAUUAUCCUUCCACUUAGAUCAAAAGGAAUUUUUCCAAUAGAACUAUGGAACCCCUGAGCGGUUGCGGUUGUACCUGUACUGCAGGAAUAAGAAACUCACUAUUCACUCAGUUUAUUUUCCAUAAUAAGUUAUGUAGGAGAGAUGGCCGAACGGUUCAAGGCGUAGCAUUGGAACUGCUAUGUAGACUUUUGUUUACCAAGGGUUCGAAUCCCUCUCUUUCUGUUUUUCUUAAUUCAUCAACGUUAAGGAUCACAAUGUAUCAAAUCAAAUAGCAAUUUUCUCCAGCAAUAAUAUCUUAUAUUAUCUUACUUUUAUUUAAUAGAAAUUAGAAAUUCUCUAUAGCAAAUUACUGUGGUAUGUAAAAUUCUAUAUAUGAAUCCCUUCAUGCACGAUAUUGAUUGUACAACGUUGAUAGUUCGUGUUGUCCUGCACAUGACUGGCUCCGGACUGUAAAUUGAGAAGUGUUAAUAUAGAAGAAAAGGUAAUGAUGCAUUCAGUGGGAAGGUUCUGAUAAGAUGUAUUCAUGCUUUUCAAUGGCUGAUUUCUAAUGUAUGAGAGGGGCACCUGUACUUAGUCCAGGCCAAAUCGUUGUUUUUAGCAUAAAAUCAAAUGUAUCUUUGCAGUAUUCCUGAAAAAUGGUCUUACAUUUUUUCCCCUUGGUAUUUAUUUACUGUACUGUAUCGGCUCAGUUGAGACGAGGUGAACACGUGAUGACCGUCAUCAGGUCCUUCGUCACAACACCUGAGCGGGCGAGAUGUUCAAAGUUAAAUUAAACACUAUUAUCUCAUAUGCUGUGGAAGAACCAUAUAUGUCGUUUUUCCUGACAACUGUUAGCACUUGCUUUUGGUAUAUCAUGUUAUCAAUUCUGUGACAUGCUUAAAAGGAUGUAAUGAAAUGAACCCUGCGUCUUUAUUUGAUGAAUUCAGAUGAUGAAUCAAUUGUCUAUAUUUUGUUUUAUCUGUCUGCCAUCUCGCACCUCUAAAAUAUAAAUUGUGUAUUACCGGGCUGGCUGGAUAUGCACCAGCUAUGCAGCCUUGCCGAAUGUUUUAUGUUAUGAAGGCAUCAGCAUGGGUGUUUGUAUUUACAAUGCCUCCUUCACACUUAAUCCACCAUCAAUGAGGCAAGUGCACUCCUUUUUGUCACAGAAAAUCAAGUGAAUGUUGCAUUCACAAACCAAUUAGCACGUUUGGGUUGUAGAUACUGUGCAUUGAUCCCUACAUUUGUAACCAAUUCGUGUUUGAUUGAGUUUACUCUCUUUCUCAUGCUUUGUGCUUCCCUAGGUCGGGCAGCUCCGUGGGGACAUGAAGCCGAUGGCGAAGGCGUGAGGCGGGCAUCAUCAUUGUGGAGUUAUUUGUGCAAGUUACACCAUCAGCAACCAUGUAAAGACAUUUGCAUCAGCUAUCAUCUCAAGUAGACCAUUUCCAUGCUCUAAGUUAACUAUUGUUUAAAUUGUGAAAAAUCAAAGGCUUUUGUGCCUAUUAGUUUGUUCUAUCCUGAGCACAUGUGUUGUGUUCAAUUAGCAAAAUGUUACUGUAGACCACAAUAACUAUGCAUGCUCAUACAUUGUGCCUAUACUUAGCAUAGUAAUAUAUGAGAUAAUCAAAGCUGCUAAGGAGGAGCUCCUCCCGUGAGUCCGCCGUUGUGGCCAGAGUGAAAAGUACCUUGGAAUGAACAGUGACCAUAGUGAACAGUAUUUCCAUGUGAACAUUAUUUUCACUUUUUUUAUUCUCUUUCAGAUACAAUAAUAAAAAGAGCUCCUUUACGGUGAUUGGGGCGGUACUGGGAGUACUUUCAAGUACUUACCCCUUUGAUUUUUAUUAGCCGUCCGAUCUGGUGGGGGAUUAAAAAUGAAUUAACUUAAUUAGUUUAAUCAGAGAAGGGCAUAAUGGUCCAGGGUAA